UCCAAGUACUGGAUGAAAUCAACUUGGAGGACGGCUUGUUGUGGGUUAGGGAAGCUUAAAAAACACAAGAAGGAAUGUUGACUGUGGAAGGAAGACGGAGGGAGAAUCCCCACAUGCAUGUGGAAGAAAUCCCAGCGGACCUGCAUCUCUACAAUUGGCAUGAUUGGUCCCCUUACUUGGAAAAGACCCAUGACGGCCAGCGUGGG